GGAUCCCCCGGGCUGCACCCAAUGUGGAAUUCGCCCUUGUGCCAGCCGCCGCGUUAAUACGUAGGUGGCAAGCGUUGUCCGGAAUUAUUGGGCGUAAAGGGCUCGCAGGCGGUUUCUUAAGUCUGAUGUGAAAGCCCCCGGCUCAACCGGGGAGGGUCAUUGGAAACUGGGGAACUUGAGUGCAGAAGAGGAGAGUGGAAUUCCACGUGUAGCGGUGAAAUGCGUAGAGAUGUGGAGGAACACCAGUGGCGAAGGCGACUCUCUGGUCUGUAACUGACGCUGAGGAGCGAAAGCGUGGGGAGCGAACAGGAUUAGAUACCCUGGUAGUCCACGCCGUAAACGAUGAGUGCUAAGUGUUAGGGGGUUUCCGCCCCUUAGUGCUGCAGCUAACGCAUUAAGCACUCCGCCUGGGGAGUACGGUCGCAAGACUGAAACUCAAAGGAAUUGACGGGGGCCCGCACAAGCGGUGGAGCAUGUGGUUUAAUUCGAAGCAACGCGAAGAACCUUACCAGGUCUUGACAUCCUCUGACAAUCCUAGAGAUAGGACGUCCCCUUCGGGGGCAGAGUGACAGGUGGUGCAUGGUUGUCGUCAGCUCGUGUCGUGAGAUGUUGGGUUAAGUCCCGCAACGAGCGCAACCCUUGAUCUUAGUUGCCAGCAUUCAGUUGGGCACUCUAAGGUGACUGCCGGUGACAAACCGGAGGAAGGUGGGGAUGACGUCAAAUCAUCAUGCCCCUUAUGACCUGGGCUACACACGUGCUACAAUGGACAGA
rnacentral:rRNA from 1 species